rnacentral:rRNA from 1 species
GACGAACGCUGGCGGCGUGCUUAACACAUGCAAGUCGAGCGGUAAGGCUCCUUCGGGAGUACACGAGCGGCGAACGGGUGAGUAACACGUGAGCAAUCUGCCCUUCACACUGGGAUAACCCCCGGAAACGGGAGCUAAUACCAGAUACGACCACUUCGGGCAUCCGAUGGUGGUGCAAAGUUCCGGCGGUGAAGGAUGAGCUCGCGGCCUAUCAGCUUGUUGGUGAGGUAAUGGCUCACCAAGGCUUCGACGGGUAGCCGGCCUGAGAGGGUGACCGGCCACACUGGGACUGAGACACGGCCCAGACUCCUACGGGAGGCAGCAGUGGGGAAUAUUGGACAAUGGGCGAAAGCCUGAUCCAGCAACGCCGCGUGAGGGAUGACGGCCUUCGGGUUGUAAACCUCUUUCAGCAGGGACGAAGCGAAAGUGACGGUACCUGCAGAAGAAGGACCGGCCAACUACGUGCCAGCCGCCGCCGCAGUAA